rnacentral:rRNA from 1 species
UUGGGAAUCUUGCACAAUGGGGGAAACCCUGAUGCAGCGACGCCGCGUGGAGGAUGAAGGAUUUAGGUCUGUAAACUCCUUUUGCACGGAAAGACUUAGGACGGUACCGUGCGAAUAAGCCCCGGCUAACUACGUGCCAGCAGCCGCGGUAAGACGUAGGGGGCGAGCGUUGUCCGGAUUUACUGGGCGUAAAGAGCGCGUAGGCGGUCUGUUAAGUGUAGAGUGAAAUCUCCAGGGCUCAACCCGGAAACUGCUCUGCAUACUGGCAGACUAGAGGAAGGCAGAGGUGAAUGGAAUUCCCGGUGGAGCGGUGAAAUGCAUAGAUAUCGGGAGGAACACCAAUGGCGAAGGCAGUUCACUGGGCCUUUCCUGACGCUGAGGCGCGAAAGCGUGGGUAGCA